GGCGUUGUUUAUAAUCGCGAAGUUUAUCUUAUUUUUAUCAAUAGGAGCGAGAGAUUUAGUUGUGUUGUGGCGUUGAAUGAUGAAAAAAAAUGGAGACUUGCCAGUGCGCUAAAACCUGUCCACCGCUGUAAAAAAAGAAAAGUAAGUUGACCAGCCAGGCAGCCACAAGGAAACAAGGAAGGAAACCUGCAUCUCAGAUCAUGUGUUGGCCAUGUGAGGUGUAGUUUGGCGGGCGUGGCUGGGCCUGCGGUAUUCCCGCGCUGUGACUACAAAAGGGAAACAUGGCAGGCAGUGGAUGCCACUUCCGAGAGCAGCCAGAAACAGAGCGUGGUUAAACAGUGUACCAGCAACAUGGAGACAUUAGCAGUACAUGCCGCCUGAUGGGAUCUGCCAGGUUGGACGAGGGCGGUUGAGAGGUCAAGACUUCAAGCGCUUCUGAGACAUUGUCUCUAGAAAAGAAAUAGAAACUGAAAGGAAGGGGAGAGAGAGAGAAGCAGGAAAAGAGAGACGAAAAGAAAUGGUCUCAGAGAGAAUGAAGGGACAGUGGAGCAGUGAUGCAGAUGGAAGCACCAGCAUCAUGGAGUUCUCAAUAUGCACAGGAUAGAGUGACGGCUCUGCUUCGGACAUUACAGGAAGAAAAUCCAUCAGGUGGCCCUUGGAAUUUCUCCUAAUUGGUUUUUACAAUCAUACCUUGUUUAAUAUAAUUGGACAGUCAUAUAAGGCUUAUCCUGGUUGUUAUGCUGGGCUAUUUUUACCUUGUUUAUUGUAAGUCAAUUCGGUUCCUGGAAGAUCCUUUUAAUGCCCUGACUUGCAUGUCCAAUAUUAUUAGGUGCUAUGAGUUCAGCUUGUGCAAAUCACUUAAUGCAUAAGUCGGUAAGAGGCUCUGUGCUGGCAGGUCAGACCGAAGGUACAGCAGAUUAAUAUUUGAUCAUGCAGGGUUUGUAAGCACAGCUGAUUGAUCCUUCAGCUGAGUGCCCGGCCUAUUAUCAUAAUUGUUGCCCACCGAACUGACCUCUCACUUUGCCUUACGCUCGUCUGCUUUUCUCUUCCCUUCUUAUCCCGGGCCGCGGGCGGGUAGUGUGUUCCGUGAGACGCGGAUUACUGUACAAUGUUGUGUGCGUUUGAGUGAAUAAAGCAGGAGAAUGGUGCAGUGAAGGGUUAGAUGAGGAUCUUCAGAGGGGACGUUUCCCUCUCUAAGAUUGACUGUGUGUGCGUGUCGACGGGGGCAGUGGGACGUGGUUUGCUUGUGUUAGUGUUUCCGAGGACACACACAUGCUCUAUCCGGGCAGCGUUCGGAGUUAAUCCCCACUCAGCCAUGCUCCACGCUCACACUCCCGCUGUGAGACACACAUACAAUACAACGUGCAAACAUACACACAAACAUGCAAGAAAUACAAAAGACAGAACACUGUUCGUAUCGCCGCAAGACUUGCUCAAGACUACUCAAUAAAUCAUAUUUUUAUUUAUUUAUUUAGGUAUAUAUUUUAUAAUGCUCGAUUUGGUUCUCUUUGUGUUUUUUUUUUGUGUGGUUAUACUGUUACGAAAAAGCCUUAUCAUCUAUAGUCUGUCUAUAUGUUUUUAUUAUUUGACAAAUUAUUUGAGUCUUUAAUGUGUUUAAUAAUAUGUGUUUUAAUUGCAAUAAUUGUUUUUUAUAAAUAAGUUUUGUUAUGAUGUACUGAUCUGCUGAUAUCAUCAGUUGUUAUUUGACAUACUUUUAGAAUACGAAGUGUCUUAGAUGCAGCUUCACUAAUGCAUUGUCUUCCAGAUGAAUUUAUUCUUAUUAUUAAGUAUUAUUAUGUACUUGCCUGGUCAUAAAAUCACAGCAUAUCGACCCCAUGAAGUGACAUGUCAAGUAAAACAGCUUUUAUAAGACUAUUAAUAAGCCUGGAAUAUUUAUCUCAUGUGAAUUUGCUAUACAUGGUUUAAAACAUUUUCAGGAUUACUAUCCUUUUAUUUAAAAAGGAGACCCAUGGCAGACACUAUAAUUUUUUUAAGUCCAUUAGGACAAUUAUCCAAAGGGGCAGAUACCUGUAAUAAUUUCCUAAACUAUUUUCCGAAAAUGUCUUGUGUGCACCUUUUCAAGCACCUCUUUGUCUAAGUGGAAAAAUACUAAACGGCUUUGUAGUUUUUCUAGUUUGUCUGCCUUUGAAGCUGACGGGUAUAAGUGCCAGUGAAUGCAUGAGGCAGCCAGUGCUGUGCCACACUGCGUGUGAGUACUUCCUGUGCCAUGUUUUUUAGUGGUCCGCACAGUCUACCCAUUGGAGGGGCAGGAAGAGAUUGUGAAUGCCAGUGCGCUCCCUGUGAAAGGAUCAGCGGAGGAGAUGUGACUUCAGUUCUGAGGUAUGAAGCACUCUGUUUGUCCCUGUGUGGGCUUCCGUAAUGCACAAUUAGGCAAAGACUGACUGAAGACUGAUGCAGUUUCGCCAAAAAGGUCAAUGCCGCAAACGCAUGCUGUAGAUGGCCCCGCGCGUGCACGGCCUUGUAAAGGCAAAAUAAUUCAAGGGCACUUUUUUGCUUGGUCAUAUAUACUUAAAAUACAUCACUGGGAGGUUUAUAAAUUAAUGUUUUAUCACUUUAAAUUUUAAAAUGCUGUAAAACUUUUUGUAU